AUUCUUUGAGUAUAGUGUUUUUCAGAUCCAUCCAUGUUGAUGCACAUAUUAGUCAUUUGAUCCUGAAGUGAUGUUCUAUUGUAUGAAUAUAAGUCUUUGGAAACUUGCUUACAUUUUAAUUGUUUAAAUAUUUUUAUGAAUAAAGAUCCUGCAGCAUACUUAUAAAAGUCUUUUUAUGUACUUACCACUUUCCUUCUGGGCAGGAAAAAAAAUUUUUAAUGAAACUUUCGAUAUUAACACAAAAAGGCGGAGCUUGCAGUGAGCUGAGAUCACGCCACUGCACUCCAGC
rnacentral:lncRNA from 10 species